UACUUUCACUUGCUCUGCUGUCAGGUUGCAUGGUAUUGCAAAACGAUCCAACUGCCCAACCACAGCAUUGCAGCACCAUCCAACAGUUACAAAAAUAUAAUGAAAUUGCCCUUUCUGCAGCUACAAAGCACUGCAGGGGAUCAGAUACUGUAGCUGAAUCUCAAUGAUGACUGGGAGCAGCUCAGCUGAGUGACUUGGAGGAACUAGGGCCCGGUCAGAGCAUCCUGACACCGCUAACAAAGUCGGGGUCAGUGUGUUCAGAGGAGGUCAAAAUUCGGGUCUGAGCAGCGGUGACCUCGCCCUCAUUAGAAAAUAUAGUUGUUAGUCUGGAUUUAGUUUCCCGUAAACAACACAGCAUACUGCAACAGCCCACUUGGGUCUCAUUUAUGAAACAUGAGUAUAAUGAAUGUGUGUAAAAUGGUAAUUUAUGCACACUUGGGCGUUCAUCAAACAUUUAGCAGCUCCGACUUGUUUACAUAUAACUCAGGCAGACUGCUUUGCUGUUGAAUCUUAACUGAUCGGGGCAAAUGAGAAGAGAAGAAUGGCUUUUCCAUUGGCUCCUUGGUUGUACCAAGUGCAGAAUGCAUGAGCUAGUUGGCCAUCUGCUGCAGUCUUUGCGGUGUGUUUAAGUGCAGUUUUCAGGCCGAGAGACAGAGGCCAUGAGGUGAUACAACUGUCCGCCUUUGCUGCAAGUGUGUCAGGGCCUUAAUUGUCAACCCACAGUGGCCACAAUGAUGCUCUGGGAGUACGAAACAGUCUCCACAUGUUGUGUCACUUUCCAUGAGGCGAUGAUGUGAUAGCUGCAAUUUAAUGGGAGGCUCGUUUUAGACUCAGCUGCAAUCUCCGCAUUGCUAAAGGCUGCUGUAUCUGCCAUCUCGACAGGAACUGCUCCAUUAAAACACCGCUGUAUUCCACCCCGUUAACAGCCAGCUUUUGUUGUCGAGUGAAAAAUGAUUGAUUCCCCCGCCGCUCCACCUCACUCAGAAUGUGUGAAAAUGGAUCGGCGGACUAUUAGGGCCCAGGAUUUUCCCACCAUUGUUUUGCGCCCUCUCUGACAGGAAGAGCAGUCUUGGU